rnacentral:rRNA from 1 species
AGAUUGAACGCUGGCGGAAUGCUUUACACAUGCAAGUCGAACGGCAGCACGGGGGGCAACCCUGGUGGCGAGUGGCGAACGGGUGAGUAAUGUAUCGGAACGUGCCCAGUCGUGGGGGAUAACUAUCCGAAAGGAUAGCUAAUACCGCAUACGUCCUGAGGGAGAAAGCGGGGGACCCCAAGGGUAACUGAGGGGCCUCGCGCGAUUGGAGCGGCCGAUAUCGGAUUAGCUAGUUGGUGGGGUAAAGGCUCACCAAGGCGACGAUCCGUAGCGGGUCUGAGAGGACGACCCGCCACACUGGAACUGAGACACGGUCCAGACUCCUACGGGAGGCAGCAGUGGGAAUUUGGACAAUGGGGGCAACCCUGAUCCAGCCAUUCCGCGUGAGUGAAGAAGGCCUUCGGGUUGUAAAGCUCUUUCAGCGGAACGAACGGUACGAUCCUAAUAAGGUCGGACUAAGUGUACGGUACC